rnacentral:rRNA from 1 species
GACGAACGCUGGCGGCGUGCCUAAUACAUGCAAGUCGAGCGGACAGAAGGGAGCUUGCUCCCGGAAGUCAGCGGCGGACGGGUGAGUAACACGUGGGCAACCUGCCUGUAAGACUGGGAUAACUUCGGGAAACCGGAGCUAAUACCGGAUAGGUUCUUCCUCCGCAUGGGGGAAGAUGGAAAGACGGUCUCGGCUGUCACUUACAGAUGGGCCCGCGGCGCAUUAGCUAGUUGGUGGGGUAAUGGCUCACCAAGGCGACGAUGCGUAGCCGACCUGGGAGGGUGAUUGGCCACACUGGGACUGAGACACGGCCCAGACUCCUACGGGAGGCAGCAGUAGGGAAUCUUCCGCAAUGGACGAAAGUCUGACGGAGCAACGCCGCGUGAGCGAAGAAGGCCUUCGGGUCGUAAAGCUCUGUUGUUAGGGAAGAACAAGUGCCAGAGUAACUGCUGGCACCUUGACGGUACCUGACCAGAAAGCCACGGCUAACUACGUGCCAGCCGCCGCAGUAA